rnacentral:rRNA from 1 species
ACGUAGGGGGUAAGCGUUGUCCGGAUUCACUGGGUGUAAAGGGCGCGCAGGCGGGCUAACAAGUCAGGCGUGAAAUCCUACAGCUUAACUGUAGAACUGCCUUUGAAACUGUUAGUCUUGAGUGCGGAAGAGAGAGAUGGAAUUACAGGUGUAGCGGUGAAAUGCGUAGAUAUCUGGAAGAACACCAGUAGCGAAGGCGGUCUCUUGGUACGUUACUGACGCUGAGGCGCGAAAGCGUGGGGAGCAAACAG